UUCCAGACUCCUACGGGAGGCAGCAGUGAGGAAUAUUGGUCAAUGGGCGAGAGCCUGAACCAGCCAAGUCGCGUGAAGGAUGACGGCCCUACGGGUUGUAAACUUCUUUUGUCAGGGAGCAAUUGAGUCCACGUGUGGGCUUAGCGAGAGUACCUGAAGAAAAAGCAUCGGCUAACUCCGUGCCAGCAGCCGCGGUAAUACGUAGGGUGCGAGCGUUAAUCGGAAUUACUGGGCGUAAAGGGUGUGCAGGCGGUGUUGCAAGACGGAUGUGAAAGCCCCGGGCUUAACCUGGGAAAGCCAUACAUGACUGCAAGACUAGAGUGCGUCAGAGGGGGGUGGAAUUCCAAGUGUAGCAGUGAAAUGCGUAGAUAUUUGGAAGAACACCGAUGGCGAAGGCAGCCCCCUGGGACGCAACUGACGCUCAUACACGAAAGCGUGGGGAGCAAACAGGAUUAGAUACCCUGGUAC
rnacentral:rRNA from 1 species